rnacentral:rRNA from 1 species
UACGUAUGGGGCGAGCGUUGUUCGGAGUUAUUGGGCGUAAAGGGCGUGUAGGCGGCUCAUCAAGUCUGGUGUGAAAUCGCAGGGCCUAACCUUGCGCACGCGCUGGAAACUGGUGGGCUGGAGUGCCGGAGGGGAAGCUGGAAUUCCAGGUGUAGGGGUGAAAUCUGUAGAUAUCUGGAAGAACACCGGUGGCGAAGGCGAGCUUCUAUUCGGACACUGACGCUGAGGCGCGAAAGCGUGGGGAG